rnacentral:misc_RNA from 1 species
GAACGCACAUUGCGCCCAUUAGUAUUCUAGUGGGCAUGCCUGUUCGAGCGUCAUUAAGUCCACUUAAGCCCUUGCUUAGUAUUGGGAAUCUACUUUCAGAAGCUACCCUGUAGCUACCCUGUAGUUCCUCAAAGACAGCGGCGGAGUCGUGGUUUUCUCCGAGCUUAGUAAUUUUUUCUAGCUUUCGAGUUGCCACUGCCCCUGCCGUAAAACACCCUUUAUUUUUUAAUGGUUGACCUCGGAUCAGGUAGGAAUACCCGCUGAACUUAAG